rnacentral:tRNA from 1 species
GCGGGUGUAGUUCAGUGGUAGAACGUCUCGUUGCCAACGAGAAGAUCGUGGGUUCAAGUCCCAUCGCCCGCU